UGGCUCUCGCAUCGAUGAAGAACGCAGCGAAAUGCGAUAAGUAAUGUGAAUUGCAGAAUUCAGUGAAUCAUCGAAUCUUUGAACGCAAAUUGCGCCUUUUGGUAUUCCGAAAGGCAUGCCUGUUUGAGUGUCAUAUAGACCUCACCUAAUCGGUUUUCCGACUAUGGUGCUUUGGGUGUCUGCCAUUUGUUUGGCUCACCUUAAAUGUCUAAGUGGAACAGCGUGAUAAGUUCUUCGCUACCCUUCCACUCUAAAUCCAAUUCAAUCUCUGACCUCAAAUCAGGUAGGACUACCCGCUGA
rnacentral:misc_RNA from 1 species